AACGGAUCUUUUACUCCUCCGUAAUGCCUCACCUACUUGAUUCCUCCUACACUGAAGCCUAGGUUGGCCCUGCAAGGAUUUGGGACAUGGGCACAAAUGAUUACGGGUGUAUAGCAGCAUUCUGAAUGAAGACAAGGUAUUAGGACACUUGAAACAAGAGGAAAACUCUUUCCCAAGGAGAAGGUGGAAACAUGAACCCACAAGUGAAUGUUUUUGGAAGUGUAUCUUGCUUUGAGCAAGAGUUGGGAUUAUGUGUGUAGGGCCUAUCUUGAUUACAAUGUGCAGGCCUUAUUUCCAUCCUUCAAAGUUCAUGAAAGAGUAGGCUGUGUUCUGGCACAAUGUAAUAGUGGCUUUCUGAGCUCACAUUGGCCACACCUAAAUUAUGAAAUGGAGCCAGUAGAGAAAAGGAACUUUCCCAGCCCAGAUAACAACAGAUGUUGGGAAAGGCCGUGAUUUCUGGAGGUGUACAUAAAGCAAAUCAACUAACCAAAAGGGAAGCAUUUCAUUUAAGCAAGCAUCUUGGCUUAAUCAUUACUCUCAGCUGCUUCCUCAUAUGCCAUUCUCUGCUCUCUAGUGGUGAUAGAUGGCUUAGAUAUAGGACGCAUAUCCUGGCAUGGGACUCAAUACCAGUCUCUUCCUCCUUCCUUAUUGAUGUGGUCAUAUCAACAAUUGUUCCCAUACCUUCCUUUUUUCAUUUGUGAAACUUAAGAAAUGAUGUUUAUCUUCUACAGAGACUAUAAAUUAGGUAUGUAUCCAGCACUUAAAAUGAAUCUGUAGCUCAUUUCAAGUCAGGUACUGAUACUGCUUUUCCAUCUCCUAAAUGUUUGUUUUUAUAUCGCAACCCAAGUUCUCAGGAGAUAAUUGAAUAAAGAAAAGAAUGUGUGUUCUGGGAAUUCAAACCACAUGGCUUGCACACGUGUCUAUGUGUGGCAGAGAAAUUGCCGGUGUUUUCUCCAUGGACUGACCACAGCAAAUUCGUCUCCUCCCAUGACUGACUAACUGCAUGAUUUCGUGAAAAAAACUCAACAAAAAAUAUGAAACCACAUUUUCACAACAAAUGGCUGAUAGACUGCAAAGUUCAAAGCUGAAUUCUCUAGAGUGAUGACUAAAUUCCAUACACACUACCCUCUAUAGUUCAUAGGCAGGGAAGCAGGGUAGGUUUUGAGAUAAUGAAAGAUGAUGCAAAUAUAGUUUGAUGCAAAUACCUGGUUUUUGAAUAAACUGCAGCCUAAUGGAGAACAGGAAUGUGUUCAGGGACAGGUCAUUUAAAACAAAUAUGGGAACACUAUUUUACAGAUUCAUAUUUAGAAUGGAGAACUCCCAGCAAGAAGCUGCAUUUUGGCUGUGAAUGAAAGCUCCCUAAAGGAAUCUGUGUCUACAGAGACUGGCUGGCUGAUCAGAAUUGUGAAGAGAUUGGAAUAUUGCCAUUCCAGAGGCUAAUUACGUUAUCUUGAGCUAGGUCUCACCUUCUAGAACAGUCAUUACAUACCAUUACCCAUUUCCCCACCCACCCCACAUGAGAACUAUUAUCUUGUGACAGUAGAUUAAAGCCUUUUGGAAUCUUUUAAUUUAGAAGACCACUAGUUUCUACUAAUCCAAAAGCUAAGAAUAUCAUCAGAUAGCAUUUUGAGCCCAUAAAAUAGAUUUAUCCAUCUCAAUGUACCUGCCUCUGUGACUUACACCUCAACGUUUUUAAACUUGUCUUGAUUUAUGACUUUCUCUGUCCUGUAACAUUACAAAAACUUCAUGAAACUGCCUUCAUGUGGGAACAUGGAAUUUGGGGUAACCUAAAUCUGUGCUCCUUGGCCAUGGUCACUCAAAGUGUCUCCAGAAUAAACCAUCCCUUACUCCACUAA